rnacentral:misc_RNA from 1 species
GGCUUGUGCUGGUACACAACUUGUACAAUGAUCAACGUUAAGGUUUCAGAAGAAAAUUACCGCUAUCCGUCAAGGUCCAUAACGAGCUCGAGGGAAAGAGCACUUCAACAUGUUAACCACCACCUUUGCCAACUGGUCAUAAAUUUUAAAAGGUAAGCUACGAUAUAAUCAGCUUAAGGUCAAGGAUCCGGACCAUCAGGAAGGAAAGUCUCCGGCUUCAGUAGAAUGAAAUGCAUCCUUCAAUAAUAGAAUCAAAAUGAACACUCGAGACGUGACCAGACAGCAACACGUACAGUAAUAAGUGACUGUAAUUAUGAAAUAUGGAAGGACAAUGGAGAUUAAUACAUCGGAAACCAUUCAUUUCCACAGAGUAGUGAAAGGGAAAAAAGAACAUCCCUAGUUUGAGAGGACUAAGUCUUGGUCGGUUUUGAAUUAGUGGCAUCGAUGACAACCGGUUGGACGUUUNAUACCAUUUAACAGCCUUUUUUUCGAUUAUGAUACCUUCUUGGUUUCCUGUUCUGAGGGGAUGUUGUUGGCAAGGUGCUCAAGAAAGUGGGAAAUGUUUGAGAGAUUUUAUCUCAACACAUUGGAAAUGAUACAUCAGGGACUUUUAUCAACGUCCGAAGGCCACGGAAACCACUAAAGAAACACAAGCAACGCCCUCUGUUCUCCCAAAAACAAAUCCAACGACUAGAAGAAGAAUUUUCCAACGAG